UCUAUUCCUCGAGAACUUUGUCAGCCUGAGGAUGACUUGACAGAGGAAACUUUCAAUGAGGAUGAUGGAGAGUCAUUGGAUUUGAGUUGCAUGGGAGCUCGGAGUCACCCAUUCUCGCUACCAUGGUUUUUUGGAUGAAGAGCAGAGAGGAAGCAGCUGUACAGAGUGGAUUGUAGACCAGCAAGCUUUGAUUCCAGACUCUACCUCUACAGGCAUCAUCACGUGACCACCUCAGUGGGGAGCACCCAAGGCUGGGACUGGAAGUCUUCUGUUGAAUGGAGAGAGGGACAUAGGUCAUCUGGGAUAAAUUAUCUCCUUGAUGAGCAUGUCUCCAGUGAGCUCCAGGUUCAUGAGCAGCUCCUGCCUUCAGAGAAUCAGAUGGAGAAGCGACGGAAGAGGACAUCUAGAUGUCAACCUGUGGCUUCCACGCAUGGAUUUUCAAAGACCAUACGAGUCAGAGGCUGGAGGGGGGAGUGAGGCAUCCGCUGUGGACCUGCAGGAUGCAGCACGCACGAACUCAACAGCUUGUUGCGCGCCCAGCUCCUGCAUACAAUGGAGGAGCGUCCCAGCGUGUGCCUGGAGGGGAGCCCCACACCCAGCUGAGGAGCAUGGAGAGUUGGCGGCUUCCGAAGGAGAGAGAUCCGGAUUUCUGCACAGCUGCGGUAGUGGUAGGUGGGCCAUGCCGCACACGGGCGGCAGAAACCGGACUCGGGGAUCUAUUUUGCUGCUCUCUGAAUGAACGUAAACACCUUAUUUUAUGAACACAACUUGCCUUUUCCACUAGAGAAACGUUUGUCCAAUGUAACCAGUGAAGUACUGUGUCACAGCUUGAGCAAGUGUGCGGGGCGGGGCGUGAUGUGAGGCUGGAAGUGAGCACCUGGGUACAGGACAGAAAGAGUUCGAAGAAAAACGUGUGAACAGUACCAACACCUUUAUAUGCACGUAUGGACUUCUCAAAGAAGCAAUAAAUACUGUAUUAAAACUGUAUAGGGUUUUCUUCAAAUUAGAUAUUCAAGGAAACUCCUUUUAUUUUAAACAAUAAUUCAAUAUUAGACCA